rnacentral:rRNA from 1 species
CUGGCGGCAGGCCUAACACAUGCAAGUCGAGCGCUCACUUCGGUGGGAGCGGCGGACGGGUUAGUAACGCGUGGGAAUAUGCCCGGUACUAAGGAAUAGCCUUUGGAAACGAAGAGUAAUACCUUAUACGCCCUUCGGGGGAAAGAUUUAUCGGUAUCGGAUUAGCCCGCGUAAGAUUAGAUAGUUGGUGGGGUAAUGGCCUACCAAGUCUACGAUCUUUAGCUGGUUUUAGAGGAUGAUCAGCAACACUGGGACUGAGACACGGCCCAGACUCCUACGGGAGGCAGCAGUGGGGAAUCUUAGACAAUGGGCGCAAGCCUGAUCUAGCCAUGCCGCGUGAGUGAAGAAGGCCUUAGGGUCGUAAAACUCUUUCGCCAGAGAUGAUAAUGACAGUAUCUGGUAAAGAAACCCCGGCUAACUCCGUGCCAGCAGCCGCGGUAAUACGGAGGGGGUUAGCGUUGUUCGGAAUUACUGGGCGUAAAGCGCACGUGGGCGGACUGGAAAGUUGGGGGUGAAAUCCCGGGGCUCAACCUCGGAACUGCCUCC